rnacentral:rRNA from 1 species
UGAGUUAAAUUUAGUGAAGGAACUUGACAGGUACAAACAUUUUAUAAAAAAGUUAUAAAAGUAAAAUU